rnacentral:rRNA from 1 species
AGAGUUUGAUCCUGGCUCAGGAUGAACGCUAGCGGCAGGCUUAACACAUGCAAGUCGAGGGGUAUGGUAGCAAUACUAGAGACCGGCGCACGGGUGCGUAACGCGUAUGCAAUCUACCUUUUACAGGGGAAUAGCCCAGAGAAAUUUGGAUUAAUGCCCCAUGGUAUUAUAGAAUGGCAUCAUUUUAUGAUUAAAGUUCCAACGGUAAAAGAUGAGCAUGCGUCCCAUUAGCUAGAUGGUAAGGUAACGGCUUACCAUGGCUACGAUGGGUAGGGGUCCUGAGAGGGAGAUCCCCCACACUGGUACUGAGACACGGACCAGACUCCUACGGGAGGCAGCAGUGAGGAAUAUUGGACAAUGGGCGCAAGCCUGAUCCAGCCAUGCCGCGUGCAGGAAGACGCAUCUAUGGUGUGUAAACUGCUUUUGUACAGGAAGAAACACUCCCUCGUGAGGGAGCUUGACGGUACUGUAAGAAUAAGGAUCGGCUAACUCCGUGCCAGCAGCCGCGGUAAUACGGAGGAUCCAAGCGUUAUCCGGAAUCAUUGGGUUUAAAGGGUCCGUAGGCGGUUUAAUAAGUCAGUGGUGAAAGCCCAUCGCUUAACGAUGGAACGGCCAUUGAUACUGUUAGACUUGAAUUAUUGGGAAGUAACUAGAAUAUGUAGUGUAGCGGUGAAAUGCUUAGAUAUUACAUGGAAUACCAAUUGCGAAGGCAGGUUACUAUCAAUAUAUUGACGCUGAUGGACGAAAGCGUGGGGAGCGAACAGGAUUAGAUACCCUGGUAGUCCACGCCGUAAACGAUGGAUACUAGCUGUUCGGAGCAAUCUGAGUGGCUAAGCGAAAGUGAUAAGUUCCCACCUGGAGAU